rnacentral:rRNA from 1 species
UACGAAGGGUGCAAGCGUUAAUCGGAAUUACUGGGCGUAAAGCGCACGUAGGCGGACAUUUAAGUCAGGGGUGAAAUCCCGGGGCUCAACCCCGGAACUGCCUUUGAUACUGGGUGUCUAGAGUGUGGAAGAGGUGAGUGGAAUUCCGAGUGUAGAGGUGAAAUUCGUAGAUAUUCGGAAGAACACCAGUGGCGAAGGCGACUCGCUGGACAGGUAUUGACGCUGAGGUGCGAAAGCGUGGGGAGCAAACAGG